GUGUGUGUGCGUGUGCGUACUUGUGUGCUGCAUUAUAACCAAUAAGGAAUACGCUUCUGGUAUGUAAUAGAUGUGUAUGGUGAACAUCACCAAUGGCUUCAAGGUUAUCAGGUGAAACUGCUACAGUAAUGAUGUAUGGGAGGCAACCUUUGUUGUAUCACAUAAAUGUUUUUAGCUUUUUCUAUCAAGUGAAAUUUCAAUUUCACAA